UACGAAGGGGGGCUAGCGUUGUUCGGAUUUACUGGGCGUAAAGCGCACGUAGGCGGAUUGUUAAGUCAGAGGUGAAAGCCCGGAGCUCAACUCCGGAACUGCCUUUAAGACUGCAUCGCUUGAACGUCGGAGAGGUAAGUGGAAUUCCGAGUGUAGAGGUGAAAUUCGUAGAUAUUCGGAAGAACACCAGUGGCGAAGGCGACUUACUGGACGACUGUUGACGCUGAGGUGCGAAAGCGUGGGGAGCAAACAGG
rnacentral:rRNA from 1 species